UGAGCUGGGGGACCGGGAACAGGAUGAAGGCUAUGUCCUGCAGAGACCCAGACCCCUCCCACGGCCGCCUGCUGGCGGGGCCCAGGCCUUGAAGCAACAGCGAACCUCUCCCCACCCUGCCUCCAAGACCUAACGGCAGCACCUGUAGGUUCCUUGGCUUGCUGUCCACGGAGGCCUCAGCAACUGGAGUGUGUGGACACAGGCGCUAAGAGUUCUGCAAGUCAGAAGUUCACACCAGUGUCAGUGGGUUGUGACUGAAAUGUCAGCCGGGCUGCCUUUCUGGUGUUAGACUGUCAGUUUCGGAUCCGAGGAUGGCGAUGGCAAAGCUUACCGGAGUUCCUUGUCAAAUUAAAGCUGUCACAGAAUAAAUCCCGCUGCCUGCUGUGAGGCCCCCGCCCCGCGCUCUGCAAACUUCACUGAGCGAACUGGGUAAUCAGUGUUUGGAUAUGCAGAUCCUUGAUUUAAAAGGCGGGGUGACCCUCCCAAGAAC